AGAGCAGUGGGUUAAGCACUCAGCCUUGUGGUGUACCUGUGCUGAUGGAGAUUGUGGAAGAGACGUUUUUGCCAAUCCAAAAUGACUGUGGUCCGCAAGUGAGGAAACCAAGGAUCCAGUUGCACAAGCAGGCAUUCACAGUAAAUACAAAGAAGCACAGUAGAAUCACUGAAAAACCACACACAAUGAAGACGGACAAACAACCACUCUGCAAAAGGCUUCAGAAGGUAACUCUGGGAUUAACUAAAUCGAAAGGUGGCACCUGCUGUUAACUCGAUGCAUAGUUAACCAGAACAUUGACGUCUGUCUCUUACUGAAGCAUCUUUAAUUAUUGUCAGAAUAACCUCAAUCAUGUUUGAAAGGACAAUUUUAUGCUGUAGUGUUUAGGUUACCAAUACUAUACCAAUUAAAUUAAGUUUGACAAUUAGUAGAAUUGCAACCAAAUUCUAAACAGCAUUUUGAAGAAGUAAUUCACAGAGCAUGUACAGUCUCAGCAGGAUUAUACCAUUAAGUUGCUCCAGGAAAUUAGUUUUCUUCACGUUAUACCAUUUAGCAGAGUCCUAUUAGUGCUGUAAACUGGUACGUUAGUUACCCUGUUUGUCUAGCUGCCUUGUGAGGUCAUCCCUAACUGUCAGGCAAGUGUUUUCCCAGUCUUUGCUGUGCGUGCUUUGAUAAAGAUUCUCAAAGUUGGAAAUCAUUCAAAAGUCACAGCCUGUGUAACCUUACAUAAAUUUGCGGAUGACUGAGAAAUGGGUCUCUGGUGAACCAAGCUAAGAGAUCUCUUAAAAAACAAAUAAGAAGCCUGAGAUAGGGUACAGUCAGAAAAUAUUACAUUUUAGUAAAUGCUUUAAUAAUAAAUUACUGAAACCUGUAUGCCAUUUAAUGAAUCGAUUGGAGAAUGCUUGUUUGAAGUCACCCCAUUUAUAGUUGCCAUGUAAAUUUCUGUGGGGAAAUGAAUGUGAAUUUAAAUUUUAAGCUGAAGGUCAAUUCGCUAGAGAGAUGUGACAGAAAUAAAAUCCCCAAAGGAAAAGAUAUGGUUGGUUUACAUUCACUGCCUGAAACAAAUCCUCAGAGUUAAUGUGUCAGCAGGGAUGUUACAGCAGAUAGUUCCUCACAUCCCCUUGGAAGUGGGAGUGUGUACAGUUUUGCUGGGUUGUCAGAGAGUGCUUGUAGGAAAUGAGUGGGGUUCGUAGUGAUACGAUCUUUGGAGAUGAUUAUGAAAUGGAAGAGGUACUCAGACAGUCAUGGAUGCUGACUGGGACUUGGGGGUUGAUGAUCGGGGCUUGGUGACCUGAGGGUCUGGUAGAUGGGGGUAGUUUGUGGUCUGGAGAAUCAGUGAUCAUCAGUCAGUGUGUGAUGGCAGAUGGUGAUUCUAGUUGUGAGAGUCACUGGGAGGUCCACUCACUGAAUAGGUUAAAUGUGUUUCCUUAGGAAGCCUAGGGAAAAUCUCCUGAUCUUCUUUCCUACAAAAAUAGUGGAAAUCACCCUAGGAAUUCCUUAAGGUUAAGUUGUUGGACCAGUAAUCCCAGAGACCAGAAUCAAUCAGAAUCGCCAGUCUGUGGUAAUAGACUAAUGUAAAUUCAGAUAAGUAAACUGAACUCAGAGAAAUGAUUACUAUGAGUAAAUGUAACUAUGAACUACAGGAUUAUUAUACAUUCCUCUGGCUUAUUAUUGUUCUCCAGCAAAGAAGUUAGUGAAUGUACUGCCAACAACAUUUGUGAGUGCUAUUGUAUCAUAGUCUCAAAUGAUAAUGUAAUUUAUUAAAGUGCAGCAUAAUUAUUACUA